rnacentral:rRNA from 1 species
GACCCCAGGUCAGGCGGGGCCGCCCGCUGAGUUUAAG